rnacentral:pre_miRNA from 1 species
CAUGUACUCCCUCCGUUCGGAAUUACUUGUCGCGAAAAUGGAUGUAUCUAGAUGUAUUUUAGUUCUAGAUACAUCCAUUUCCGAGACAAGUAAUUCCAAACGGAGGGAGUAGAUC